rnacentral:piRNA from 1 species
UGCCGAAUUGUCGUUUUUAUAAAACUCG